UCGACGAAAAAAAGGGAAAAAACACUGAACUCUCUGUUGUGUUUUUUUCAUUUUCUUAAAUUUCUAAUUACUUUAGCAAAAAAUACGUAGUUCUGCAAUUAUUUUUGCGUGAAAUUGUCUGCGUUAGUAUACGGCUUACCCGAGCCUCGCAGUAUGUGCUCGCUGUAUACGGUAGGUAUACGGAUCCAAUGUGGGGCGGUGCUCUUGGAUGGUGAGCUUGCCGGUGAAUCUGCUGAAACGGAUCGAUCGCCACUGAAGGCUGAGGUGAUGUUGGAAAUCAUGGACGUGUCGGAGGAUUAAGCGGAGUGAACUGUUUACCUAAAGUUGGUCAUCGGGUGACGCUGAGUGCACCUUCGGAGGGCACCAUUUGCCGCAUCUGGAGAAGGUGAGCAAUCCAGUGAUUUCCCUAGAGCGCGUUACAACAAAUAGGAUCUAUGCAACGAUGCAUCAGUCGUAGAUACAGCAACGACGAAGUUACAGUUGCAGCACAAAUACACAAUGUCUGCGGGAAUGGCGCUCUGUAGAAGGAACCAAAGAAGAAACGAGAAUGGGUUUGCCAUACUGAUGAUGAACGGAUGGUGGUGACGAAAACGGGAGAGUACUGCGAAUGAGAACAGUUUCGAUUGGAUCGAAAACUACAAACUAGGAUUCGGUAUUAACUGCAUUAUGAACUGAUUCGUGUCCAUCAAUGGAUGCUACAGGAAGAUUACACCGGAGAUGCUGCACACUAUGAGGUACAUGGCGGACGUUGGGAUGAAGACCGAGUAGUUCGAAGAGGACAGCUAUAACUAUAAGUAGCCUAUGGUCAUGGCCAGGUAGUAGUAAAAAAUAAAUUCAAGAUUAUUUUUUUGUGAAAUUAAGCAGAGCCUAUAGUUAAUCAGUGUCAGUUCAAUACUCAAUCAUCUACAAUAGCCAAAGUAGCCAAACUUUAAGGAACUUUCACAUAAAUCAUUCGUGUGUUAUUUUAGGGAAACGAUAUUUAAUAAUGAAUCAUAGGAUUAGAAUCAUCUUUUGGAAUUGAGCACUUCGAACAAUCUUUUGAUAUGGGUCCAAGGUGUAGUAUAUCGAGUAUUUUUAAAUGCUACAAUAAUGGUUAAGCACGCUGUAAUGUUACUUUUGUACCUCAUCACCCACUAAAUGCAACUACAUUAGUGGUCUAAUAACACUUAGCGCGCUUAGGCACGGUUCCAUCAUGCCGCUUAUAGUGUUGCCACAUAUAAUGCUUAGUCUGCUAAACCCAGUUAUCUGGCUGUGGGGCAUGGGAGCCUAAGCUUCAACCAUUAAUGCAAUUAAACAUUACUCGAUUUACAACAUGAGUGAUCCAAAUACUUGAUAAUUGUUCGAUCUGUUUUUUAAAUAUAGCUUAAAACAUACAAGCUUCUAGACCAAAUGCAUAGCUUACGUUUCGCUUCAUUCAGAAUUUGUUCAAGCAGUUCAUAUGUUUUGUAAAGUUAAAUUUAAAAAUUAAAGUUAGAAUUUUCUGUAUCACACUAGAAAACAAUUGAAUCUAACGUGGAACCAGUAUUAAAGUCAUUGCUCAAAGCAAUACAUUUACCGUACAUUUCACUGUUUAGAACAAUUUAAAAACAUAAGAAUCUUCUGUAUCACAGUACAAAACAAUUCCAAAACAAUUGAAUCAAGUGUGGAAUUAGCAAUAAAAUCACUAUUCAAAACAAUACACUUACCGUACAUUUCACUGUUUGAAACAAUUCGAAAACAUAAGAAUCUUCUGUAUCACAAUAGAAAACAAUACUCAAACCAUUGAAUUCAAUGUAAAAACAGUACAAACAGUAUGGUAUAACAAUUCUAAAACAAUAGAAUCAAAUGUGGAACCAGUCAUAAAAUCACUAUUCAAAACAAUACACUUACCGUACAUUUCACUGUUUGCAACAAUUCGAAAACAUAAGAAUCUUGUGUAUCACAAUAGAAAACCAUCCCCAAACCAUUGAAUUCAAUGUAAAAUCACAGUUCAUAUUCAACUGUUCAAAACAAUUCAAAUGCAUAAAAAUCUACGGUAUAUUCCAUUCCACGUAUCGGCAUUAUCAACAUUUCAAUAACAUUAGAAUUUUCUGUUUUGCGAAAAAAGUUGUAUGGAAAAAAGUCUUUUUUUGUAUUGUUACGAUACUUAACAACCUAUACAAUUCAAUGUGAAAUGCUCAUUCACAUUUGAUUCUAUUGUUAGAAACAUUUGAUUCAAUUGUUUUUCUAUUGUUAUUUUAACAUUGAAUUCUAUUGUGAGAGCAUUGUUUUCAAUGGUUCUGUUACAUUAGAAUCCUAUGUUUUUCUAUUGUAUUUUUUAUCCGGGUAACA